CCUACGGGUGGCAGCAGUGGGGAAUAUUGCACAAUGGGGGAAACCCUGAUGCAGCAACGCCGCGUGAGUGAAGAAGUAUUUCGGUAUGUAAAGCUCUAUCAGCAGGGAAGAAAAUGACAGUACCUGACUAAGAAGCCCCGGCUAACUACGUGCCAGCAGCCGCGGUAAUACGUAGGGGGCAAGCGUUAUCCGGAUUUACUGGGUGUAAAGGGAGCGUAGACGGCUGCGCAAGUCAGAAGUGAAAGCCCGGGGCUCAACCGCGGGACUGCUUUUGAAGCUGUGUAGAUGGAGUGCAGGAGAGGUAAGUGGAAUUCCUAGUGUAGCGGUGAAAUGCGUAGAUAUUAGGAGGAACACCGGUGGCGAAGGCGGCUUACUGGACUGUAACUGACGUUGAGGCUCGAAAGCGUGGGGAGCAAACAGGAUUAGAUACCCCUGUAGUC
rnacentral:rRNA from 1 species